GUGGGGAAUAUUGGACAAUGGGGGGAACCCUGAUCCAGCCAUGCCGCGUGUGUGAAGAAGGCCUUUUGGUUGUAAAGCACUUUAAGCGAGGAGGAGGCUACCGAGAUUAAUACUCUUGGAUAGUGGACGUUACUCGCAGAAUAAGCACCGGCUAACUCUGUGCCAGCAGCCGCGGUAAUACAGAGGGUGCAAGCGUUAAUCGGAUUUACUGGGAGUAAAGCGCGCGUAGGUGGCCAAUUAAGUCAAAUGUGAAAUCCCCGAGCUUAACUUGGGAAUUGCAUUCGAUACUGGUUGGCUAGAGUAUGGGAGAGGAUGGUAGAAUUCCAGGUGUAGCGGUGAAAUGCGUAGAGAUCUGGAGGAAUACCGAUGGCGAAGGCAGCCAUCUGGCCUAAUACUGACACUGAGGUGCGAAAGCAUGGGGAGCAAACAGGAUUAGAAACCCGUGUAGUCC
rnacentral:rRNA from 1 species